rnacentral:tRNA from 1 species
GGCUAUAGCCAAAUGGUAAGGCAGCGGAUUCUGAUUCCGUCAUUUGGAGGUUCGAGUCCUCCUAGCC